rnacentral:lncRNA from 1 species
AGUCUGCUCUUCACACGGAUACCACGAAUGCCACGGUGGCCUCCUGAAGACGGAGUCUGGUCUCACAUUCCUCCAGCUUCCUAUGCAUAAACCCCAGCGAAGGGUGAGCGCACGGCAUGGCACCUGCAGCAUGGGGUUCACGUUCUGGAAGGUUCUGGCUGACUCCCACCCCGCCCUUCACUGGCCAAGUAAACUUGCAGAAGUUACUUAACCCUUGACCUAGAAGAGCCUCCUGUCACCUGAAAAGGGAAAGUCGGGAUUGUAAGGAAAGGAAUCUCAUAGGGCUUCUCUGAGGAGACAAAUCAUUGGAUUGGGCUUAGACGUUCCAUCCGUGGCAAGAUUUCCGGCUUUGCCCUUUGGAGCCUGAGGAGCAAGGGUAGAAUGAGGAUCGUGAGGUUCUUCAGAGGCAGUUACUCACGAGGUCACAGCGCAGAAACGGCAAGAAAUGUCAGGACAACUAUGGAUGUGAAGGAUGGGAGAGGGGCCUCCUUCCGCAUGAGGUCCCCAGAGUUCUAAAGGCUACUUCAGCAGGUUCAGAAUUCCAAGGAAACCUACUUUCAACAGUGUGAGACCUGUGCCUCAGUCAGCCGGGUGUGGAGUGGCCAGGUCGCACAUCAGCUGCAGGCACAGCCAGUUCAUGGGUAGACAGCCACAUCCUGCCCCAGGAGGAGGGCAGCCAGCAUGGGCGAUGCAAGCUCCCCUCGUCUGGAACCAGCACAACCUCAGGCACUCGAGCCUUGGCCCCUCACAAGCAACGUCCUCAAUGGGUGGCGUUCGUUCAUCUUGGAGGCAUAGCUGGGACCCCAGGGACAGGAGCUGCCCGGCUGGCUCCACCCCGGAACACAGGACCUGCCUCCAAGCUCCUUCGAGGUUGGGAUCUGUGAGCAAACAUAAAAACCGAUCAUCACAAUAAUUGCCACAUCACAGAAGACUGUUGCAUCCAUGAAUGCCUUUAAUCCCCAGUCCGCUGGCCACGAAGCGGAUUAGGAGAGAGAGGUUUAGUCCCAGACCUGCCUCAUUAAAAACAUCUCCUUUCUACCAUGAGGACUUUCACCUGUACAUGCAAGAGGUUAUUAUAUACAGAUUAAGAAUUAACACAGU